GAGUGCUUACCCGAGGGUCAUGGGGAGGACACCGACGAUCAUCUUCGACAACCAUCUGCCGACAGCGAUGAAGCACCACCAGGAAACGAGGCACCAUUUGAAGACAACCCGCCAUUCGUAGAUGAUACACAAUGUGGGGACGACACACAAUGGGGAGACACGCCAUGGGGAGACGAUCCACCAUUUGGAGAUGACCCAGUAGGCGUAAACGGAGACGACCCACCAUGCGGAGAUGACCCCCCAUGUGGAGAUGACCCCCCAUGAGGAGACCAUCCACACUAUGGAUAUGAUACACCAUGCAGGGAGGAGCCACCAUGGACUUACAGUAGGAGAAAUGAGGUUCUCUUCCACCAUUUCUUCACACUUCUUAUCAUUGGGACCCUCUAUCCCUUCACCAUGAUUAGUGAUCUCCACCUCGUUUAUCAUCACUUUUUCUUCCCCCAACCUCCAGACUUCAAGCCUAGGAUGACCAGGAUGAGCGCUGAUUGCACUCCUAAUAGCAUCCUCUGCAGUUUCCACCUCCCUAGCCUCUGCGUCCUCACAGUCAAUAUCUACAUGGAGAUAUCUGAGGGAAGCGAGGUGCUCGAUGCCAAACUGAAAACCAUAAUGCACAGACACUCCUUUUACUCGAAACUUGAGGUGGAGAUUUUCCAGUGCAAGCAUACUCCCUUGUUCAAACAUCACCAUGUCCAAACCUUUCCAAUAAAUGAAGUCAAAUUGCUUUAGACAUCGGAAGAUUGUGAGCUGAAGAUUUCACCGACAGCAAGAGAACUAGCAGAGAAGGCAAUUUCCCAAGGAUCUUCAGUGCAUCCUCUCCCACUGUAUCAAUGUUGAUCUCCAACACUCGGAGGCUAACAAGUGAGGUCAUCCAUGCUGGUAUUCUUGGGAAAUAGUAAUCUGAAGUCAUCCGAAACUUGUGGAGGUGGUCAAAAGGAGCAGACAGGGAAUCCAACAAAAAAUCCAGGGAACACCCAGAACCACUGCUAAUAUGAAGAGACUGGAGGUUGGAAGUGCCAAGUUUGUCAAGUGAAGAGAUCAAGCUACGGACACAGGUUUCCCUACAAAUAUUUGUGUCACUAAUGCACCAGUUUAGCCCGAGAACCCUCAGCAUAGACAAACGGCUCAGCUCCUCCAAAGAAUUUGGCGAGUUACUGCUCUCUACUUCAACAUGGGAGAGCUCCUGAAGAAGUUGCAACUCUCCAAUUCCAUCUGGCAAUUUUACAUUUUUAACAAGUAAAUAAGUGAGUUGCUUCAGUCGAACAAUACUGCAGGGCAAUCUGUUUAUGGGUGCACGAGUCAGAUCCAAUGUCUGGAGGAACUGCAGUUCCACUAUUUGUUCUGGCAGCUCAAUGAUCCUUGUUGCUUGAAGACGCAGAUACUUUAACAGGUAUAGUUUUCCUAUAUGUUGAAGAUACCUGGCACCUUCUAACUCCCCACUACUUUCCAGAUCAAGAACUCGAAGUGCUCGAAAGUUUGCAAGAGUAGGCAUCUCUUUAUCAGUCACACAAAUGGUGAGUGAUCGGAUAUGAGACGCAGUUAUAGCAGAUGGUAAAAAGAUAUCCUUUCUAUCAUGAUCACAGUAAAGAGAUAGGCGGCGAAUUCUGUCUUGGUAGUCCAAAAAUGCUACCAGGGUCAUCAUAUCUGGUUACAAAAUUCUCUUCCGCAGAUUUAGAUAAAAUGAGAUCCCAAUUCAUGUUCUGAACUUGGCAAACUUCGACUCGGCCAUCGUAUCGAAUUGAUCACCCCUAACACGGCUACAUGGGACCGGGGCAUGAUUAGAACACCUUUAUAAGGAUCGACGCAGAAGUAAUUUGGGCUAUUACUCUAUCUAUGUACUAAGACAAGUACGAUCUGNNNNNNNNNNNNNNNNNNNNNNNNNNNNNNNNNNNNNNNNNNNNNNNNNNNNNNNNNNNNNNNNNNNNNNNNNNNNNNNNNNNNNNNNNNNNNNNNNNNNNNNNNNNNNNNNNNNNNNNNNNNNNNNNNNNNNNNNNNNNNNNNNNNNNNNNNNNNNNNNNNNNNNNNNNNNNNNNNNNNNNNNNNNNNNNNNNNNNNNNNNNNNNNNNNNNNNNNNNNNNNNNNNNNNNNNNNNNNNNNNNNNNNNNNNNNNNNNNNNNNNNNNNNNNNNNNNNNNNNNNNNNNNNNNNNNNNNNNNNNNNNNNNNNNNNNNNNNNNNNNNNNNNNNNNNNNCGGGGCUCUCUUCGUCGGCUCUGUCCUCGCGCCGGUGUCGCAGCCGCCAGGUGGUUCUAGAUCCGCGCCGCUCCGGGGCGGCGGCCUCUCGUCCUGGCAGGAGGGCCGCGCGACAGAGGGCGUCGGUGGCGGUGUUGCUCGGCUGUUGUUGCCCUGUAGCAGGCUGCGGGGUCAGAUCUAGAACCCUCAAGGUGCGGCGCACUGCGCGAGUUCGUGGCAGCGCUGGGGGCUCUCCACGGCCAUGGGGGCACGGUGCAGGCCACUCGUGCUCCGGUGGUGCUUCUCAGGGUGCGUGUCGGCGUCGCCCUGUGGCUCGCGUUGGUGGUCCGGGCAAGGCGAGCUUGGCGGCGGGGAUGGAUCUGGCUGGUGGUGGUUGGGGUGAGAUGGUCAGGAUCUGGCAUGGCUGGAUCUCCACUCUGGUUGACGCUGGUGCUCGCGGUGAGCAGUGGUGUCACCAGAGGUACCUUUUUGCUUGCUCCGGCGGGGACGCUCAUCGACGAGUUGCAGGAGGUGGUAAGGUCUCGUGCUCUUUGCUUUGCCAGACUGGGCGGCCGGCGUAAGCGGCGAGGUUCGAGGUGCGAUGCUUCAGGCGAAAGCCUGGUGUCGGCCUUGUGUCGACAGCGGUGACGGUGACGCCUUUGGGUGCCAUUUUUUCCUUCUUGGAGGAGUCAUUGUGAAGCUCCCGCAGCUCAUCCUUACAAUGUGCUCCGGGCGAAAGCCUAAGAUCCACUGUUGGAUCGGACUACGACGAUGUCCUUGAUGUCGUUACCCCCUUGGGGGCGCAGUCUUGGAGCCAUUGAUCCGUUGUUGGUCGUUUCUAGUCUUGGCUCGAGCACGAUUGGUCAGGCUGGGAUGUGGGGUGUCUGGUGGUGGUGGUGGAAGCGAUCUAUGGGUAUGGCUACUGCCUUGGUCAUCCUGGUGCUAUCUGUUGACCUCUCUUUUGGGGGCUCGUGGCGUCGGUGAAGUCUCGGAGAUCAGUGCCCUUCGGCGACGCAUGAGGUUUGGUUGCCUCGCAUAGUGUUCUGGUUCUCUCUAUUUGUGAUGGUGGUCGUGGUGUGGCUCAGAGGAGGUGUAGGGCUGUCUCGGCAAAACAUUGCCCUUCGGCGCGGUCGGCGGCUCUCUCUAUCGCGCCGUGCCUCGGCAGUGGGAAGCCCUUCGAUGGUGGUUGCGACUCUCCUAGCUCUUCAAGGUGCAGAGUGAUCGCAGUGCAGCAGGCAACUUCUUCUCUACAUCUACUCGGUGUUGAUUCUCCCUUCGACUGAUCCAACAAUGCUAGUUUCCCGUUUCUUCUCGGUCUGCUUAAUGGUGUUGGGUGCUAAGUUCUUGGUGUUGGCUAAUUAUCAUAGCUUGUUUCUGGUUCUUCUCUGUUGUUCCUUAUUCCUUCUUGUGUGUGUUGGGUGCUACUUCCUGUAGCCGUUGUGUUGUAUCUCAAUCCCUCUUAUGAUAAUGAAAAUGGUUCAGGCUGGCGUAAGCCCGCCGUAGCACCGUCAAAAAAGUGUAUGAUCUGCGUACAAGAUGCUUGCUGACACUAAGUUGCAUCGCGAAGCAUGUCUAGAGGGGAGAUCGGAAGCCUCAAACAGGGAAGAAGAGGAGAUGGCGUGAGUCCCGCAUCUAUAAACUUCUCCCCCAGCGUCGCCUCCCGCUAGGGCGACUCGGGCGGCGCCCAAAAACCUAGCCGCCGCCAACCCGCACUCCCUCCUCCUCUCCCUCCGGGGCGGCCGGGGGACGCCGGCGGUCUAAGCCGGGGGGCCGACGAAGGUGGCGGAGGACAUCACCUAUCUCCUGCUUCUCUGGGGUUGUGUGGAGCCCCGAUUCGCAUGGAGGCGCACCCGAUCCAAUCUGCGGUGUGGUGGCGUCGUAGGUGGCGCAGGUCGUGGGCACGGCGGCAGCGGCGCGGCGGCAUCGGAAGCAGUGCAGGCCGCGGGCGCGGCGGCAAGCCCUGUUCAGGCGGUGGCAGCGUACCAUCUGCCUUUGGAUCGGCGGCGGCGGCGUGGAUAGCCGGGUGGUUGCGUCGGCGGCACCUCCAGUCAGAUCUUUUCUGGUCGGUGUAGCCGGCGGUGGUGGUCAACUCUUCUGCCAUAGGUGGUCGGCCCGCGGCUGGGUGGUCGGAUCUUGAGAUUCGUCAUCUAGUCCCGGCUAUGAGUCAGGGAGACAUAGUUUCCAGUGAAAACCGAGCCAUUGGCAGACGAUGGCAGCGUUUUGCGUUGUUACCUUGAUGAAGGCAUUGUCGUGUAACUGCUGUCAACCCACUCGUGCUGCUUCGGGGGAAAUCCUAGGAUCUGGUCUUCCAGAUCGGAUGAUGACUGUACUACGGUGUUGUUUCUCUCUAGGGAGCAUCGUUUGUGGAGCAGUGCUAGAAGACAGAGGCAGGAGGUGGAGCGGCUUCCUCUUGCACGGAGCUUCGAUGGAGCUGUCAGGUCAUGCCUGGCCGACAGGUGCUACGCUGAGUCAUGACUGGUUGGCAGGUGCUAUGCAAGACAGAUCUUCCAGAGUCUCCGCGUCUGGAUAGACGAGCGCGGGGCGGUGACGCCGUUGGGCGCCGUGGUGGCGUCAACGGACGUCCAGAUUGGCAAGGAUGAUGCGGAUCUCUCUCCUGAAGAUGGAUCAGUGGUCCAAUGAUGAUGGCGGUUCCUAAAACGUGUGCAUGUGGUGAUGUUGGUCCCAGUACGUUAUGUGGAUGGAUCGGCGACGACUCCGGUUUUAGAUAUGGGGAGUGAGAGCACUCCAUAUUAUCGAGUUUGUAGGUGUGAGUGGUGGCUUCGGGUGGAUUGAUGUAUGUUCUUGCCGGUCCUUCUUUGUGGAAUAAUUAAUAAAAAAGACCGCAUGCAUCGGUUGAUGCAGAGGUCGGGGGUUUAACCUCCUUCUCUAUAUAAAAAAACAGUCAUGUCUAAGGUUAAAAUUUUCUUAUGGCAGCUGACUAGACAAUCAGCACAUCUGGCACACAAGUAUGUCACCAGUGAGCAACUAUUCGAUUUGCGGCAUGGAGGGCUCCUGGAUGCAUUAUUUGCUUCAUUGCAAUAUGGCCAGGUGUGUUUGGGCAUUAUUUGAUCAAGACAUGGUAGAAGCAAUGAGCAGAAUUGCUGAACCCGAAGCAAAACGUUGGAUAUUCAUGCUAGGAGUCGAUGCCUCAUAAGGAUUUUGUGACUAUCCUUGUAACAAUAUGGGAGAUAUGGCACGCGCGAAGGAAGGCCAUACACCAACAAGAUUUUCAAAGUCCUAAUGCGACACACCAGUUUAUUAUGCGAUAUCUGCAAGAUUUGGAAGCUGCAAAACCAAAGAAACCUUAGAUCCAGUGAAGGGAAAACAUCCCACCGAGGACACGCUGGUCUCCGCCACCCACGGGUCAUGGAAAACUCAAGGUGGAUGGGGCAGUGUCUAGAUCCCCCAAUGUUGGCUCUUUUGGUGCUGUUUGCAGGAACUCGGAAGGUACAUAUCUUGGAGCAUCAGCCAUCAAUUGUCUUGAUGUAACUGAACCUGCUACUCUUGAAGCUUUUUUUUUUAGAACGAAGGCUCAAGUCGAGCCCGGCUUUGAAUUAACAAAGCCAUCAACCGGCCAGGAUUACAGCAACCCACUUACAGGAGCAGAAUACAACAAAACAGCUAAGAGAUACAUGGUGCUCUGCAACAGAUAGCUAGCUUCAUACAACCUACAAGCAAAGAUGAAGAACACUAAAGCCAAGGAGCAGCUUGAAGAGAAUGAAGCCCUCCAUCGAUCGCAAUUCAUUGCUCAGUGGCACCCGGAAGGCCUUGAGGAGACACAACUAGCAGAUUGGAAGUAGCAACGUUGUUAGCUCCAUGGGCUGCGGCCAAAGCGGAAACAACCUUCUCCAUCUCCGAAAGGGGCUCCCUGCCCCCUCACCUGGCACGAGGCGCCGAUCCGUCGGAAGAUACAGACGCUAUCCCAAGAGCUAAGAUGAUUAACCACCACCGUUGCCACCAGGAAGACCAAACCAGAGCACCGCAAACCUGCAGCACCGGGCUCAACAAGGGGGAACCUUGGCACUAAGAGGAACUGCACACGAGGAGAAGCAAAUACACGGCGCGAGACUGUUGAUGACAAAGCUGCAAUGGAGGAAGCCCCAACACUGCAGACUCCAACCACGCAACCGCCGAACGCCUACCAACGGAGCAGACUCGCCAUCGCCCCAAAACUCACCAAAGGCGGCACCUUCAUGAAGGAGACGGCGCCAUGGGCGUCGCUGCCGCCCAAUCCAGAUGGAUUUUGGCUUUCGCCCGGAAAUGAGCAGGGGAGAAAGGCAAAAGGGGAAGGGAAGUACCAAAAUGGCUCCUACAGGUAGGGGACGGCGCCCGUGGGCGUCGCCGCCGUCGUGGCCGGCUGAGUCGGCCUGAAUUUCUCCGGGCACUACACCGCCCCCAGCCCCAACUUCAAACACGGCGCCUGCAGCCAGGGACGACCGAAGACCGGAUCUGAAAGGGGAUCUGAGCGUUGGAGGCGAAGGCGUCGGAUCCGGACGGGCCCCCGCAGCCCGGCGUCCAGCAGCCUCCACCCGCCGCCACCUUGCCGCCCGCGCGGCCAAGGCAGCCGGCUAGCACCCGCGGCCGCCGUUGGCUGAGAACUGCGUCGCGCCACCACCCGAGGCCGCCGCCUCGGCUCCAGAGACCCCCGCACGCGACGGAGCAGGCAGAUCCUCGACGCCACCUUCCCCGGCGGCCGCGCGGCUUGCCGGCGACCCCCUCCGGUGGCGACGAGGUAGAGGACCCCCUAAGAAUUCACCAUGUUCCGGAAGACGCGAAGUAAUCUCGCGGAUCAACAUCAUAUGCUCCGAUCGGUCGCCAGUACCUCCUUCAAUUAGUUUUACCACUUUUGCGCAGUCCGUUUGAAUCACAAAAGGCAGCUCAGACCACUGGUAGCCGGGGAGAUGCCUUCUGAACAUGCAGCAAGUUCAGAUCCUAGUGGUGAUGCACACUGCCUUAACUCACGGCAAGACGAAAAAAUAAUAUCUCCAUGUUCAUCUCGGAGGACCAUGCCAGCUCCUGCAGUUCCAUCCUUGGCAGAAAAGGACCCGUCGAUGUUGAGCGCAGCCCAGCCGACCGGCGGUGCCUCCCAUCCAAGUGCUGAUGGCUUCUCAUGCUCUACAUGUGAUAACAAUUUCCUGCUAUACAAAGGUGCAGCCAUCAUUUUUCCUUUGAUGUGAUCUCCAUGAGGGUACGCCUGGAUGGCUAGCAAUGAGUUGAUAUAGCUGGAUAGGAAUCUGGUCGAGGCUUCGACCGGCGGUGGUCGUUUGUCGUGGACGAUCUCAUUCCUCACAUACCAGCAACGUCAAAUCGUCAUGAGCGUAUACAUCCGCUCCUCUGAUGACAAGUCCGCGAGCACAUGAAAAGGCCACUCUGGCCCAGUGUGCAUUACUCGACGGAUGUCCGGAAUAUUCCAUUGCCGCGCCAUAGCUUGCCACAAGGCGAUCGCAUGAGGACAUCUGCAGAGAGCAUGAAAAGUGUCCUCCGGUUCGGUAGCACCCACAGGACACAAGUUAUAUACUUCAAGGCUACAAGCAUGUUUAUUAGUCCAUGUGGCCAGACAGUUCAUCGCUACCCACCAAGCAAACACACGCACCUUAGGAGGAGCAUGGCACCUUCAUAAAAAAACCCAGACGGCUCGCCGCCCGUCCGGUGCCCUGCUCGCCGCGACUGAAGAUGGACGAAGACGUUCAUCAAGUGCAAGCCGGUACGCGCUCCGAACCGUGAAGAUACCAUUACGCUCCGGUUCCCAAGCAAGGACAUCCUCUUCGAGCCGUGGAGAAGUCCGAAUUUUAACAAUCUGCUCGACAUCUACCGGAUUGAAAUAUUGUUGUAAAAGGUCCAUACGCCAUGCACCACGUUCAUCCAGCAGCUCGGAAACUCUUCUCAGACGGCAUCGCCCUUGCACGGUGAUAGGCUUGCCAGAGCCACCGUUCGGGAUCCAACGAUCUCUCCAUCAUCCUGCUCCUUCAUCUUCGAGGGACGGGAGUCCAAUAUCAAGGCACAUAGCGUCGCCAAGUUCGCUCUAAACCUAGCUAGUGGUAGACAUAUUUUCCUCUUUUGAACUGGACAAAUUUGGCUUAACCAGCCUCGUGAUAUUCAGUGUAUCGUUCUAAACUCUGUGAAAUAUCAAUAAAGUGAGCGAUUUUGGCCUCAAAAAAGAAAACCUAAAAAAAACAAGUGUCUCACAAAAAAAUCCUAAACAACAAAGACAACAGAAAAGGGAUCAAUGAAUUUGCCUAUACAUCCACAUCUAGAUGAGUUUUAAACACACCCUAUAGGCGUGCUUGUGGAGGUCAAAACGAACACAGACAUGCAAAAGGAAUAGGCAGCAAGGCACGGGAAAAUCCUAUUUGACGCUAACUACGUCAAACUGUCCAGGGUUCGCGCAAGCGAUCCCCCCAAGCGCGAGAAUUGGGCCGGCCCACUAUCCCAUAACGAGGCAGCCGGUUUUGGGAACCUUCCAUAAGGUUCCCUGAACCGACUUUCUUGUUUUUUAAACCAGUUUAGCGGUUUUCUUUUGUGAUUGUUUUUUAUUUUUUGUUUUUCACUUUUUCUGUUUCAUUUCUUUUUUCGGUUCUUUUCUCUGUUUCUUUUUUUUACUUUUUUGUUUUCGGUUUUUGUUUCUUUUAUCAGGUUGAUAUUUUCUUGUUUAAACUUUUCUAUAAAUUGCCAAUUUAAAAAAUGCUUAACAUCUUCCAAAAUUGUUUGUUUUAUUCACAUUUUUCAAAAAUUAAAAUUUUAGAUGUUUUAAAAAAUUGUUUGCAUUUUUCAAAAAUUUCAUAAUUUUAAAUUUUCUUCACGUUUAUCAAACAGAUUGAAGUUUCAAAUUUUUGUUCAUAUUUUCUAAAUAUUGUUUGUGACUUCAAAAUUUGUUCAUGUUUUUCACAAAACUUCAGAGUUUCAAAAAAAAUACAAAAAUCGUUUGUCAAUUUUGUCCCAUUUUUCAAAAUUGGUUUGCGUUUUCAAAAAAUGUUUGUAAUUCCAAAAUCUAUUUGUGUUUUAAAAAAAGUUAAAUUUUAUUAAAAAAUAAUGUUUACAAAAAUUGUUCAUCAAUUUUUUGUUCCCAUUUUUAAAAAUUUGUUCGCGUGUUCAAAAAAUGUUCGUAAUUCCAAAAUUUGUUCACAUUGUUCCAAAUUGUUCGUAUUUUCCAAGUAUUCAGAAUUUCGAAGAUUGUUCACGUUUUCAAAAAUGGUCCAAGUAUUAAAAAAUACCAUGUUUCUCGAAAAUUGUUCGCAAUUUUUAAAUUUGUUCAUAUUUUCUUGAAAGUUCAGAGUUUCAAAUUCUGUUCACGAUUUCAAAAUUUGUUCCCAUUUUUUAAAAUUUUAAAAUAUGUCCAAAAUUUUGCUCACAAUGUUGAAAAAUGUAUGCGUUUCAAAACGUAUUCAGUUUUUUCAAAAAUAAGAAACGCGGUCGAAAUUUCAGAAAACUUUCAUAAAGGACCGUCCGAAUGGUUUUUUUUGAGCAUCAAUACAGACACAAGCGCUCAUAUACAUGCGCAUACACUCAACCCUAUGAACGCACACACGCACACCCUACCCUUAUGAGCACCUCCGAGAGACCGAGCCGGCAUAUCAUCUUGAGAUUUACGAAGCGCCUCGUCGUCGACGGGAACGUCUCCUCCCACUGAAAGCGCAUUGCCGGAAAUCCUGAAAUAAAUCCAGAAAUAAUGCGAGCACCAUGAUUUGAACCCUGGUGGGUUGGAAAUACCACUGCCCACCUAACCAUCUCAACCACAGGUUGGUUCGCCACCGCGCGAAUGGUUGGUUGGUGCAUUGGUGUGCUGCUGCGUCUCAUAGCGAAAGGUCCUGUGUUCGACUCCCAGCUAAAGCAGUAACUUUUGGAAUUUUCAAUACCAGCUGCUAUUUGCCGCAAAAUGCGGCACAUAGGACCUCCGGCAAGGCACCACCCGGCCGUGUUAAAAGUCGGACAAAGAACAUGUACAAGUGAAACAAGGGACCAGUGCGUCCAGCGAGAAAUCUUGAUUAGGCGAUCUGACGGCCCAGCGCGCCGCCAACGCGUCCCCUGAUAUCCGCCACCUAAUCUGAAUCUUUUUUCAAAAUUUCUCACAGAAGUAUUUUGUGAAGCACCGAAACUUUUUUGCUAGUGAAACUAGACGCAUAUAUACGUGUCCAUAUGCACAUUGGUAUGCAUAAGCUAACGGCCCAUGUCAUCGACACUUGCAUGACAACUGAAUUCUCAGUUGGUCUCAGCUGGAUUUCUGGGAUUUGGUCUCGACUUUCAACGACCAUGUGAGCCAAUCACGAAGCGAAGCCAUCAGACCAACUAUUGGUAUGCAGAGGGGCUACCGGGUGCCCCCGUCGCGGCGCUUGAGCUUAUGGGUGUACUUGAAGAUGGAUUCGAGGCGCUGCUGCUGCAGUUGCUCGCGGAAUCUCUGGAUGAAUUUCUCCGCCUCGGCAUCCACCUCGGAGCAGGUGGCUUCCUCUGUCGGAGGCGACCGCUGCGGCGGCUUGUCCAUGCUCACCGUCGAUGGCAACCUCGUCACUCUUGUUUGUGUUUUGAUCCACCGAACUAUCAACUCAGGGAAGUGCCAAAAAUGUAACAUAUAUGACCUGAAAGUGUUAUAAUUGUAGUAGGCAGCUCCCUGCAAUUAACACACCCAUCAGUCAAAUGCGUGUGAAAAUCUGCAACAUAAAAGUUGCAAGGACAACAACUUACAGCCGGAGAAGUGUGAUCCUCUUCCAUCAUUUCUUCAGACUCCACAUCUGUCCCUUCACCAUGCAUCACAUCCUCUUCCCCCAACCUCCGGAGUUCAAGUCUAGGAUGACCAGGAUGAGUGCUGGUUGCACUCCUAAUAGCAUCCUCUACAACUUCCAUCUCCCUAGCCUCUGCGUCCUCGCAGGCAAUAUCUACACGGAGAUAUCUGAGGGCAGCAAUAUGCUCAAUGUCAAACUGAAAACCAUAAUUCACAAACACUCCUUUUACUCGAAACUUGAGGUGGAGAUUUUCCAGUGCAAGCAUACUCCCUUGUUCAAACAUCACCAUGUCCAAAACAUUCGAACAAAUGAAGUCAAAUUGCUUUAGACAUCGGAA
rnacentral:lncRNA from 1 species